CUAGCCAUUUUGCUUUGUUUAAAGAGAAUAUGUUGGCCUGGGAUGAUAUCUAUUCAUUCACUAAAAUAUUGUUAGUGUAUGGGAAAUAAUUUUUUAGUUCUAGUUACUUUCCUGCUCACUAUCCUUUUAAUAGGAAAGGAAUGUCCCAAGAUAUUUCCAAAGGCAUGACUCCUUUUCCAAUCAUAUAGACCAUCACGCUAUUGGGAAUUGCAAAUAAUUUCUUUCAUACAACUGAAAGAAGAAGUCAGAGAAGUUAUGUUCCAAGCCUCUCUGUCUUCCUGAAAUUCUGAGACAUCUUGACUGUCCUUGGGCAGCUUCACUGGGUUUGACAGCUGAGAAAGAGACUAUUUAGGACUAGUUGACUAUGACUGAUUCCUGGAAAUGAGUAGUGGCCUCCUUAUGUGAUAAAUGGAAGCUGGGGUAAUGAAGCAGCUCUAUUCAAAGUGAUCAGUCACUGUAGCAUCUGAAUAGACCAAAAGGCAUAAGACAGAAGAUCUACAACUAAUUUGGGCCUGAUAUUAGCAUUUAUUUGGCAUGGAUGCAAGGGGAAGUUGGAAGGUCUUCCUGGUUAGAGGUCCAGUGUUCCAGUAAACUGCUUCUAACCAUAGGUAAAGAAGAUAUAAAAUUAUUACAUCACACAAACUAUAUGAUGGUGUAACUAAAGAAUUUUAAGGAG
rnacentral:lncRNA from 1 species